ensembl:lncRNA
GAGAGGGAGCAGAAAAGCCAGGGGAGGGAGCACAUUCCCAGUUAGGGGAGGAGGGUUACUUAUUUAUCAUUUAUUUACUCACUGAACCUGUACAGAUACUGAGAGGCCAGAGAAGAGGGUGAAGUAGAAGAAACGGGACAGAGAGGGCAAAACAAUCAUGGGGAGGGGAGAAAGCUGGAAGAGAUGAGACCCAAGAACACCAGGGGAGACAUUAGCAGCAGACAAGAAAACACCUUCUAUUUUAUUUUAUUUCUGAUUUAUUAAUUUGUCAUUACACAAACAAUACAUGAAUGCAUACUCAAAAACAUCAAACAUUACAGUUAAAGCUGAUGCACUCCACCAAACUACUGUUAACAGUUUGGUUAAUAUCCUUUCAGACCGUCCCUCUACAUCCGUGUAAUACACAAGCAGGUGCGUAAGCGGUACACUAUACAGUGUGUGUGAAUGUGUGUGGCAUGUGCUUCCACAUCAAUGCUAUCAUAUGUAUGACAUGUACUGUCCUUCAAUUUUUCCCCAAACUUUAAAAAAACUGAACAUUGUAUUUUAGAGAUCUUUCCAUGUCAGCACAUGUAGGACUCAUUCUUUUUCACUGAUGGCUAGUAUUUUAUAAUGUAUACCAUGCUCCAUCUUCUUGGUAUUUUGGUUUUUCCAAUUUUAUACUAUUAUAAACAAAGAUGCAAUUGAUAUCAUUGUACAAGCCACCUUGUGAACACAGGUAUAUAGAGUGUGUUUUAUUAAAAACUGGAAUUGUUGGGUCACAGGGCAUGUGAAUUUUAAAUUUUAAUGGAUACCACUCAAUUGCCUUCAAAAGUGGCUGUGCCAAUUUAUACACUCACCAACAACGUAGGAUUUUCCCUCAUCCUUGCCAGCUCUUGAUUUACAUAUACUUCAAAUAUUUGCCAACUGGAUCUGAGCUAGUUUCUUGUGUUUUAAUGUGCAUUUCCCUUAUUUUGCUGAGGUUGGGCAGCCCUUCGUAACCUAUUUGUAAACCUUUUUGCUCAUGUGCAUUUUCACAGGGGAAUUUCUAAAAGGAAUAUGUGACCAGAACUCCUAAGACUCACUGCUAGUCUAGCUGGAAUUAACUUUGCUGAGUUAGAGAUCUAAAUUUAUUUUUUUCCCAAGUGGUUACAUUGUCUCAAUACUAUUUGUUGAAUAAUCCAUUCUUCCCCUACUGAUUUGAAAUGUCACAUUUAUCAUUUAUUCAAUAUAUACUUGUGUUUGUUUCUGGAUUCUCAGUUUUAUCAGAAUUUAUUUUUGGCACCAGGCACCUGAGUUAUUCUUAACUUGGGUCACUGAAUGGUAGCUGAUUUUUGUCAGCCAAGGAAGUGAGUGUGUUGCUUACGAGACACUAGGUGAUCUAAUUCAUGAUGCACAAAUCCUAUUCUAGCCGUUUGAUUUAACUCAGUUUCUUUACCUACAAUGUGUACUAGGAAAAUGUGUCCAUUCUCUCUGAGAUCAGCCCCUCCUUUUUAGGGGACACCUCAAUAGGCUCAAUGUAGAGACAGGCGGCUUCUCACCAGGUCCCCUCUUUCUAAAAAAGAAUUAUUUGAUGUUAAAGCUUUUUGGUGAUUUAAAUUUGUUUCCUGGCAAUGUCAAAGGGUUUUGCGUGGCAUGGCAACAUGACUGUUGGUUUACAUGAACCUUUCAUUCAACAACUGACAUGAGGCCCAGGAGUGACCAGAAUUCUGAACUUGGCAGAUAUACCAUCAUCUCUGACCUGCGACAAUUCUUUGUGAUUAGUGGCAGUUCUGAUUAUCCAUCACUGGGGGCUUGAUGAUACAGCAUU